UAUACAAAGGUAUUGAAAUAAGAUUUUAAAUGAGUGCUAMGAGAAUGAUUGAACAAUUAUAGGCUUUCUUUAGUUAAAUAAUUAAAUUUAAUUUUUUUAGUGCAAAAGCAAAAAUUAAAUUUAGGGACAAGAAGACCCUAUGAAUUUUAAUUUAAUUUAUAAUUUGAAAUUUUAAAUUAAAUUUGAUUGGGGCGAUGGAAAAAGAAUGAGUAUCUUUUUUAGUUKUAAAAAUUGGUUCCGUUUUUAACGAUUAAAUGAGAAAAAUACUCUAGGGAUAACAG
rnacentral:rRNA from 1 species